AUUUAAAUAGCUUAAGAGGUAAAGAGUUUAAUAUUGAAGAUAUUAAGGUGAUUUUUUUAAUCUUUAAAUA
rnacentral:tRNA from 1 species